UACGGAGGGUGCGAGCGUUGUCCGGAUUCAUUGGGCGUAAAGGGCGCGUAGGCGGCGGGGUAAGUCGGGUGUGAAAUCUCAGAGCUCAACUCUGAAACUGCACUCGAUACUGCUCUGCUUGAGGACUGGAGAGGAGACUGGAAUUCACGGUGUAGCAGUGAAAUGCGUAGAUAUCGUGAGGAAGACCAGUGGCGAAGGCGGGUCUCUGGACAGUUCCUGACGCUGAGGCGCGAAGGCCAGGGGAGCAAACGGG
rnacentral:rRNA from 1 species